rnacentral:lncRNA from 1 species
UCCAUUUGGUGGGGACUCGCUCACUGAUGAGAACCAGCGCAUAUGACCAAGUCUGUGAUCUCGUGAAUCCGAUGACAAACUUUAGGGUUGUGUAAAUCCAUACGUUGGUUGAGAAAACAACAAACAUUGAAGUGACUGACAUUGCAAAGGUUGAGAACAAUACUAGUUUCUUGCGGCCCAAGGAACCAUCUGGGAUUAAAGCUAGAAAGAAUCCACCAACGAUGGCACCGAUGUAGAAAGCAGAACUAGGCAUACCUCUGAGUAAAGAGCUCGAGCACUCGAGUCCAAAUUCUGAAAUGACGGUUUUGUCCUUGGAGCCACCGUCCCAUUCCCAUGCUGAUCUUGGGAGCUUGCAGAUGUCGGAAGUGGAGUGGUCGCAGAUCGUGUGGUUAACACAGUGCCACGUGGGGUAUGCGUCUGUGUAAACGGUGAUGAAUAUCGGAAAUGCAUCGAAGAACAGAGCGAGUCCAACGAGGACUACCUGGAAGAGUUGCCAGAACCCAAAAUCUGAUAGACUCUGUUCGACAAUGCUGUCGAAAGUCAACUCUUCUGAACUGGUUCUGUCGUUGACGUCGGAAUCAUCGGCGCAGAUAUGAGACAAUAACAGUGGUUCUGACUGGUCAGUCAUCAAAAAAUAUUGUUUGGGUUUUAAAACUUUUUUUCUUUUGAAGGGGUUGGCUGUUGGAUGAUAAUAUUUCCUUUCUUAUCAGCUAAAUAUAAAUCUAAAAUCUGAAUCUGUGUUAUCAUUAUAUCGUUAACCAUAACGUGUAAUUUCAGUUUGAUAGUCGUGAGAAGCGUGGGUUGACUGACGUGUUUCAGUUUGAAAUGAGUAAUACUAGUAUCUAUUUUAAAACCUGCUCGUGAGAAACGUGGGUCGACGAAGUUAAACGUAUGAAAUUAAGUACAGUAACUAGAUCCCGAUCCGCGCAAUCGCGCAGAUUUUGUUUUCAAUUAUUUUUAUAUAAAUAUUUUGUUUUCAAUUCUAAAUUUGUAUAUAUUACGGUAUAUUUUUUCAUUGACUAGAUUGUUUCAAACUUUUACACGUAUUUGUAUCUUCUUCUAUAUAUAUAUUUUCGAAUUAUUAUUUCAUUAUUAAAAUCGUAACUAUAUAUAUAAAGAUUAGUAAAAUAUUGUUUUAUUGUCAUAUUCAAAGAUAUUGUAACAUUUCACAAAUUUAAAAAGUUUUAAAAAAAUUAAAUUUUUUGCUUCAUAGAUUUAUAUUAUCGAGUAAAUAAUUAAACAUUUAGUUUUUGUUUCAUUUUUAAAAUAAACUAUAUAGUUUAAAAUUUGUUUUCAUUGGUUUAAGGUACUAAAGAUUAAUCAUUUUUAGAUAAUAUGAUUUUUGUUAUUUUAAAAAAAAUCUUUAUAAUUUUAAAAGUUAACAUCAACAAAUAUUUAAAUAUUUAACAUAUGGAAGUAUAAUAUUACAACAUUAAAUUAUAUCUUUUUAAUUUAUACUAUCUAUAAAUCAAAUGGAUCAUCUAUUGUUUAAAUCUUAUUAUUGAUAGCCCAAUAAAAAUUUCUGGUAUGCCCAAAAUUUAAAUGAUAAGAUUAGAGAUUAAAUGUAACAUAACUUUAUAUUAAUACGUCCAUUAGAUCUAUUUUUUAAAAAAAUCACACAUGAAUUACUUAUAAAUUAAUCUAUUAAUGGCGCCCAUACGUACAGGUCGUGCCAUGAAUAUAGUAGCACCACAUAAUAAUGGCUUAUAACUAAUACAAGUACCAUAGGCAGACCUUGAGAUUUAUAAAGUCAUAAACAUUUACGAUUAAUUGGAAACCAUAAAACUUAUAUAUAUAUUAACCCUGCGAAUGUUUUCAUUAGAUUCACAAUUUCGAAUAAUUUCGGAGAGAUCGAAGACCAUUAGCAUAUGAACAAAAUAUAUCUGAUCAAAGGGAAAAGAUCAAUAUUACUUCACUCCAAGUAAAUAUUAUUCCUCAUUAGGUGAUAUUUUUGCUAUAUUUGAAAACGUACAAACUUUUUAAAAAUCAUAUGCAUAAACAAAAUUUAAUGACAUAUUAUUGAUAAAGUAACUUAGCAACUAUCUCAAGGUGUUAGAAAUCUAUUUAUAAAAACGAAUAACAAUGGGUCCGAUUGGUAAUGGCUGUAGCUUUAAAAUUUUUGCUGUAGAAAAAAAUCUGUAGAUUUUUUGUCUAUUACUUAGAACGCAAGAAAAGGGUUUCUCACACCAAAAAACAUCGCUUGAGUUCCAUGAUACCAAAGAGGAGCUACGUGUGCUGACUUGCGUCUACGGUGUGCGUCAAGCUCGUGGACUAAUCUCUCUAAUAUCUGCUCUAAAUGGAGUUUCUUCUUCACCUUUCACACCUUAUCUCAUGCACCUCAUACCUCUCUCCAAGAAGCGGAAAACAGAGCUAUUGUACCACGAACUAGACGAAGAUGGAGUGAACUCCAAUGGAGGAGACGAUGAGUUCGGGACCAACGAAGGACUAGAGAUAAAUGACUCGAUAGACUCAUUCACUAGAGACAGAAAGGUCAUGAUCCGGCAAGUAAAACGAGUAGCGCUGAUGGAGAACAUGCACGAAGAGAUCUGUAACGGGAGUGAAGAUCUUCACGUCUCCAUCGUGUUUCUUCCGUUCCAUAAACACCAGAGGAUCGAUGGCAAAACUACAAACGACGGGGAAGUGUUUCGGGAUAUGAACCGGAAGGUUCUGAAGCAAGCACAGUGUUCGAUCGGUAUCUAUGUGGAUAGAAACAUAACCGGGUUCCACCAGCUUCACGGGUUUGAGUCGGUACAACACGUCGCUGCAUUGUUCUUUGGUGGUCCUGAUGAUCGAGAGGCUCUGUCCUUGUGCCAGUGGCUUAUCAAUAACUCUCAGAUUCACCUCACUAUCAUACAGUUUGUCGCUUAUGGCUCGGAGACAGAGAAUCUUGUCGGAGACGCGGUGACCAAAGAAAACAACGAUGUUUUGAUGGAGAUUGUUGGUAACGAUCAGACAAACGACGAAACUGAUCGAACUUUCUUAGAGGAAUACUAUAACAGGUACUUUACAAGAUUCUACUUCUUACUAAUCCUAUGUUUCCAGCUUUAGCCAGUUCAUGAAAGGUUUUGAGCACAAUCGGAUGAAACAUUAAGAGUAAUUCUUGGGUUCACACCUAGAGGUUCACCAACCAAUAGUGUUUGAGUAUUUGAUAUUUGAUAUUUUUUAAAAAAGAAAAUAAAAUUGAAUAUCCAAAUUAUAUUAUAUUUUAAAAAUAAAAUAAUAAAAAUACAUAAAAAAUAUAGUUACAAAAAAUAAAUUAAUUAAUAUUGUUAAAUCUUCAGCAAAAUACUAAACCCUAUACCUUAAAUCCUAAAUCCUAAACCCUAAACCCUAAACGUUAAACCUUAAACUUUGGAUAAACUCUAAACCAUUGGAAACUCUUAAACCUUAGAUCAUACAUUAAAAACUAAAUUUUAAUAACACUAAACCCUAAAUCCUAAUCACUAAACCCUAAACCCUUGGGUAAACUCUGAGCUCUUGGAUAAAUUAUAUAUUUUAGGGUUUAAUUGUAAAUAUUUUUGAUUUAGAGUUUAUGAUUUAUCUAAGGGUUCAUGAUUUAUCCAAGGGUUUAGGGUUUAGUGAUUAGGGUUUAGGGUUUAGUGUUAUUAAAUUUUAGUUUUUAAUGUAUGAUUUAGGUUUUAAAAUUUUCCAAUGGUUUACGGUUUAUCCAAGAUUUAAGGUUUAUCAUUUAGGGUUUGGAGUUUAGGAUUUAGGGUAUAGGAUUUAAUAUUUAAUUUGCUAACGGUUUAACAAUAUAUAUUUUUCUUUUUGUAACUAUUUUUAUGUAUUUUUAUUGUUUUAUUUUAAAAAUAUAAUCUUAUUUAGAAAUUCAAUUUUGUUUCUUUUUUUUAAAAGAUAUCAAAUAUCAAAUAUCAAAUACUCAAACACUAUUAGUUUUACAAUCCAAAUUUUAAGGAAAUAUUAUGUAUUUGCUGCAUGGCCCAAAAAUUAUAAAUAUUUUUUCUUACAAUUAACCUAAAAAUGUUUAUCUCCCUCAUAAAUUUCAGAUCUUAGUACUAGGGUUGUGGAUAAUUUCUAGACCUGAAACAUUGGCAUUUUUUUCAUUGACCGGACUGGUUUUGGUUUAUUUUUGGCAGAUUUGUAACGACGGGGCAAGUUGGAUUCAUAGAGAAGCGAGUAAGCAACGGAGAGCAAACACUGACGAUUCUGAGAGAGAUAGGAGAGAUGUAUUCACUGUUUGUGGUGGGGAAAAACAGAGGUGGUUGCCUAAUGACGUCAGGAAUGAACGAUUGGGAAGAGUGUCCGGAACUAGGAACGAUCGGAGAUUUCUUGGCUUCAUCAAAUAUGGAUGUAAAUGCUUCUGUAUUAGUAGUUCAAAGACAUAGACACUCAUUUGAAAUCUUUGUGGAUGAAUAGCAAAAUAUUCUUUAGUUUUUUUACGCACAAUACUUCCAACUUAUUUUUACCAGUUUCUUAUAUCAGAUAAGACACACAUAACGAUUUGAAAACAUAUCACAAACUCUUACACUCAGCAACAGUUGCUAGUGUUUAUGGUUUGAUCUCUUUUUUCUUGUUCUUCCAUUGUGUCACAGAGACUUGAACCUUUUGUCUCGGGAAGAAUCAAAACGAACAACCCCAAACCAGACAUGGCAACUCCGAAAAUGGCAAAGGAUACUGAUGGUAGAUCUCUCCCAAUGGAAGCAAUGAGCGGACAACAAGCUCCUCCAACAACAAGAGCUUGUCUAAACAUCAUUGUUGCUGAACUUCUUACACAAGUCGGAAACAUUUCAACCAUAUAAACCGCCAUUAGGUUAAAUCCGGUCCUUGCACAAAAAAAUGUCCCAAGUUCAAACGCAAACGCGAUCCCGGUUUUUCCGAAAACGCUGAGAACGAAACAAAGCACCCCAGAGGCUCCACCUAGUAAGGUGUUCACUAGAACAGAGCUUCUUCUGUUGACCCUCUCCAAUAUGAACGGAGUGAUAAUGAAAGUAGGCAACUCCACCACUGCGUUUAGGGUUUCACUCAAGUAUAUGUUGACGUCUAUGUCUCUAACUGCUAAUGGAACUCCGUAGUAUGACAUUCCCAUUCCAAACAAUAUGACCAUAACAACUAAUAUCCUCCGAAAAGCCCACUUUCGGAAGAAGAAGUCCUUAAUCGAGUACCUUGGCAGUGCUUCAACGGUUUCUUGCUCCAGGGGUAACUUAGAAAUUAGUGAUUCCAAGUAGGCUUUGUUCUUCGAUGACAGGCUUUUGAGAACAACAAUGGCUUCUUCGUUGUUUCCUUGCAAGUGAAGCCACCGUGGUGAUUCGAGUGCGAAGAGGUAGAGGAAGAUACAAUAGAAUGUUGCUGGAACGGCUGUGUAGAGAUAGAGAUAUCUCCAUGAAGAGUGUCGAGCAAGGUAAGCCACUCCAGACAAUGACAUAAACCCUAAAACGAAAAGGGUAAAUGGAAUCAUGGUAACUCUUGGUCUCCAUUUGGUGGGGACUCGCUCACUGAUGAGAACCAGCGCAUAUGACCAAGUCUGUGAUCUCGUGAAUCCGAUGACAAACUUUAGGGUUGUGUAAAUCCAUACGUUGGUUGAGAAAACAACAAACAUUGAAGUGACUGACAUUGCAAAGGUUGAGAACAAUACUAGUUUCUUGCGGCCCAAGGAACCAUCUGGGAUUAAAGCUAGAAAGAAUCCACCAACGAUGGCACCGAUGUAGAAAGCAGAACUAGGCAUACCUCUGAGUAAAGAGCUCGAGCACUCGAGUCCAAAUUCUGAAA